GUAAUCAGCAAGAAGAAAAAGC
rnacentral:antisense_RNA from 1 species